GUCUGGUGCCAGCAGCCGCGGUAAUUCCAGCUCCAAUAGCGUAUAUUAAAGUUGUUGCAGUUAAAAAGCUCGUAGUUGAAUUUCGGGGUCAGCAGGUUGGUCGUGCCUCUGGUAUGUACUGGUCUUGCUGAUUCCUCCUUCUUGAAGAACCGUGAUGCCAUUAAUUUGGUG
rnacentral:rRNA from 1 species